rnacentral:rRNA from 1 species
GCCCAGACUCCUACGGGAGGCAGCAGUGGGGAAUAUUGCACAAUGGGCGAAAGCCUGAUGCAGCAACGCCGCGUGAGGGAUGACGGCCUUCGGGUUGUAAACCUCUUUUAGCAGGGAAGAAGCGAAAGUGACGGUACCUGCAGAAAAAGCGCCGGCUAACUACGUGCCAGCAGCCGCGGUAAUACGUAGGGCGCAAGCGUUAUCCGGAAUUAUUGGGCGUAAAGAGCUCGUAGGCGGUCUGUCGCGUCUGCUGUGAAAACCCGAGGCUCAACCUCGGGCCUGCAGUGGGUACGGGCAGACUAGAGUGCGGUAGGGGAGAUUGGAAUUCCUGGUGUAGCGGUGGAAUGCGCAGAUAUCAGGAGGAACACCGAUGGCGAAGGCAGAUCUCUGGGCCGUAACUGACGCUGAGGAGCGAAAG